rnacentral:rRNA from 1 species
AUUGAACGCUGGCGGCAGGCCUAACACAUGCAAGUCGAACGAGUGGCGGACGGGUUAGUAAUGUCUGGGCAACUGCCUGAUGGAGGGGGAUAACUACUGGAAACGGUAGCUAAUACCGCCUACCAUCAGCUGUGCCCAGGUGGGAUUAGCUUGUUGGUGGGGUAACGGCGCACCAAGGCGACGAUCCCUAGCUGGUCUGAGAGGAUGACCAGCCACACUGGAACUGAGACACGGUCCAGACUCCUACGGGAGGCAGCAGUGGGGAAGAUUGCACAAUGGGCGCAAGCCUGAUGCAGCCAUGCCGCGUGUAUGAAGAAGGCCUUCGGGUUGUAAAGUACUUUCAGUUGGGAGGCGUUACCCGCAGAAUAAGCACCGGCUAACUCCGUGCCAGCCGCCGCGGUAAUUC